CUCUCGUAUUGCUAGGAGGCGACGAGUGGCGAACGGGUGAGUAACGCGUAGGAAUCUACCUAGUAGUGGGGGAUAGCCAAGGGAAACUUUGGGUAAUACCGCAUACGAUCUACGGAUGAAAGGGGGCCUCUCUUUGAAGCUCUCGCUAUUAGAUGAGCCUGCGUCGGAUUAGCUUGUUGGUGGGGUAAAGGCCUACCAAGGCAACGAUCCGUAGCUGGUCUGAGAGGAUGAUCAGCCACACUGGAACUGAGACACGGUCCAGACUCCUACGGGAGGCAGCAGUGGGGAAUAUUGGACAAUGGGGGGAACCCUGAUCCAGCCAUGCCGCGUGUGUGAAGAAGGCCUUAGGGUUGUAAAGCACUUUUAGUAGGGAGGAAGGCCCGGUAGUUAAUACCUGCCGGGAUUGACGUUACCUACAGAAAAAGCACCGGCUAAUUUCGUGCCAGCAGCCGCGGUAAUACGAAAGGUGCAAGCGUUAAUCGGAAUUACUGGGCGUAAAGCGCGCGUAGGCGGCUUGGUAAGUUGGAUGUGAAAGCCCCGGGCUCAACCUGGGGAACUGCAUCCAAAACUGCCAGGCUAGAGUAUGGUAGAGGAUGGCGGAAAUUUCCUGUGUAGCGGUGAAAUGCGUAGAUAUAGGAAGGAACAUCAGUGGCGAA
rnacentral:rRNA from 1 species